UCUUAACACAGUAGAUUACAGUGAAUAAUGCUUGAGUUUACAGUGCCAUAGCAACUUCCAAUUUAGGAUUAUGUUCUAAGGAUAUGCUCGAUGAAAUUUCAAGUGUUUGAGAUGAUCAGAUUGUGCUUACACGAUGCAAAUUUUAUUAGUUUGGAUAUGGAAUCAUUUUGUGCCUAUUAGCUUCAUUUUAGAGUGCAAGUCUACUUCUCCUCAUAAAAUGCUACUACCUAUUUUGUGCAUUAUGCUUGCUAAUGUUAUUUUAGGUUCGUUGUUGAUCUUGAUCUGAUAAAUGAUUAAAUGAUAAAACUGAAUCUAUAGCUUUUCCUCUCACUAAUAACCCACAUUUUCUUCUCCAUCGUUCUAUAUAUGAUAGGAUACAUCAACAGUACCAAAGCACUUGACUACAUAACACAAAGCCUUUUAUGAUGCUAUUAAUGGUCUACUUAUGAUGAUUUCUGUUAGCUCCAUAUAUAAUGGGAUGUCUUACAGACCGCAGAGUAAAGUUGGGGCUUCUUUGUACUCUUCUUUUCUUGCUUGGUUGCACUUGAGCAUGUUGAUUGUAUUCCAGUUCAUUGAGAAAAAAUGAUACAGUUUGAAUGAAAUUGGGGCCUUUGGUGUACAUAUCAAGACGUUUGCUUCCUAUUAUAUAUUCUGCUCGAUAACUUAUUUGAAGCAACUUCAGUUUAUAUGUAUUAAAAUGCACAAGAAGUCCUAUCGUAUUAAAUUAAAGCAAUGCACACAGAUUACUGCUAAAACUUGGUAUUGCCAAAAGUCAAAACAGUACCCACAUUCAUCCAAUUUAUGAGUAUUAAAAUUAGGAUAUGAUUCAGUGUUAAGCAGGACAAAGAUGGACCAUGCGACCAUCAGUUAAUGCUGGUUCCAAAUCCGCCUCUUAGAGGUAGUUCUUCAGCUAAUUUUUUUUGUUCAGCCGAGGGGAGAGCCGCUGGACAGAGAUCCCACUGAAUGUAGAAGGAAUUGACGUAGUUCAGGCUAAUCAAACGUGAGGCCAGGCUCAUCAAUUUAGCACCAUCUUCAUACAGAAGGAGAGCAAGCACAAAAGAAGCUACAAAACUGAAUGACGUCUUAAUCCCCCGGCGCAGCAAAGCGCGCGUCAGCUUCUAGUUCUCAGUUUAUAUCUGAAAAAUUUCCAGUAGCGUUCCAUAUCUUGGUGACGUGUGUGUCUCAUCUUACAGCACAGAGCAGACUAGCCCAUGCAAGUUGAAGAACAAAGCUCCUUAGGCAGAUUUUUAGCCUGUUUUCUAGGCAGCAUAUAUCCAGUCAUUGCAUCGAUGGCUGUUUGUUUA